rnacentral:rRNA from 1 species
UACGUAGGUGGCAAGCGUUUGUCCGGAAUUAUUGGGCGUAAAGCGCGCGCAGGCGGUCCCUUAAGUCUGAUGUGAAAUCACGUGGCUACAACCACGUGCGGUCAUUGGAAACUGGAGGACUUGAGUGCAGAAGAGGAAAGUGGAAUUCCAAGUGUAGCGGUGAAAUGUGUAGAGAUUUGGAGGAACACCAGUGGCGAAGGCGACUUUCUGGUCUGUAACUGACGCUGAGGCGGCGAAAAGCGUGGGGAGCAAACAGG